CAGUAGCCGCUGUAAUACGAAGGGUGCAAGCGUUACUCGGAAUUACUGGGCGUAAAGCGUGCGUAGGUGGUGGUUUAAGUCCGUUGUGAAAGCCCUGGGCUCAACCUGGGAAUUGCAGUGGAUACUGGGUCACUAGAGUGUGGUAGAGGAUAGUGGAAUUUCCGGUGUAGCAGUGAAAUGCGUAGAGAUCGGAAGGAACAUCUGUGGCGAAGGCGACUAUCUGGGCCAACACUGACACUGAGGCACGAAAGCGUGGGGAGCAAACAGGAUUAGAUACCCCCGUAGUCCCUGUCUCUUAUAC
rnacentral:rRNA from 1 species